AUUAUAUAUAUGAUUUUAUAUAUAAUUAUAUCCAUGAUAAUAUAUAAUGUAUGGUAAUAUACCUUAUAUAUAAUACCAUACUUAAUGAGUAUUUUACAUUAAUAUCGUUAUACUGCAUAUUGCAUAUUAAUACAUUAAUGUUUCCAUAUUAAUAUUAUUCUAGUGAUGCAAUUACAUGCUAAUAGACCGAUCUACUGAGACACUGGUAUAUGAAUACAUUAUAAUAUUUUCAUAUAUGUUAGUAUCCAGUUAUAGCCAGAGUGGAUUACGUUAAGAGGUUAAAAAAUAUUAAACAGGCACAGAUUUGACAUGUUCUUCAAAACACAAUUUCCUAUGCUCACAGUUUAUAUCCCUAAGUUGUAAUUAAAUGAAAAUCGUAACAGAAUUUCACACUUCCAUGGACAUUUCCACUCAUCUAAUUAGCUGAUCUACGCAAUUACCAGGCACUAUCAAGUUAAUGUGAUAAAUAUUAAUAUAUAUUAACAUAUAUAUAUAUUAAUAUAAAACAUAUAUCAUUAUAUAUUUUUAUAUAGUAGUAUCUAGUUAUAGCCAGAGGGGGGAUUAUAUCAAGACAUUAAAACAUAUUAAACAGGCACAGAUUUGACAUGUCUGUGAAAACACAAUUUGAAUGCUCACACUUUAAAUCUGUAAUUUUUCAGAAACUUUUGCUACAUAUUAUAAAAUUAACUUUGUGCUCAGCAAGGAUAAUAUUUCUAAUAUUUGCUUUGCCUGCUCCACGAAGCCUGAAAUAAUUGCUUUAAAAAGUAAUUUAAUUACAUUUGUUCAGUUUUUGAAUGUGUGUUGCUCAUAAACUGAAGACUCCAAAACCAACUGGUUCGGAAAACUCCAUAGUUUAGGUUUUUUGGGAGAAACUGAAAAUUAUUUUGGUUGCUUGGAUUGUUCUUCAUCAGGUUUCCCUGCAAUCCCACAGCUCUUUUUUGGGAAGGUCUUCGAGGAAACCCCUCCUGCGGUGGGUCUGAGGGGGAUUAGAGCAGCUCACCCCCUUCUUGGGAUAUUAAUAAUCACCACAAAUUACACCCUAAGAACUCAAAACAUUGUUUUCUCAAAGCCUUUUUGCUUUUGGGAUGAAUCAAAUGCCACCAAGCAACACUUAAUUAAAACUCUUUGUGUUUACAAGGCAGGUAUUUCCAGGAAAAGCCUUGAUGCCCAGUCACACACUCUGAGGCCAUGUUGCAUCACACACAUUUGAUGAAUAAAAUCCAAACGUUUCCUACUCGGAUCCCUGACGUGCUCCUCGCCAGAUGGCACAGGCAGCUUUAAAGGAGGAGAUUUGCUCACGGAAAUGGACAUCUCGGCUGCCUGUCUCCGAGGCUUGGGAUUUGUCACUCCGAGGGAAGACAGAGCUUCUCCCUUUUGUUGCUUUGAAAGGACUGUGCAUGUUCAGCUCCCCUGUGCUGCACUCAAAGCUGGUGAAUCGCAGCCCACACUGGAUCAGGACAUAGAUCAUACUGCAAUUGCCAAGGGAAGGAUGGAUGGCAAGGUUAUCUCCAGAUGCAUGUGGUACUCUGCUGUCAGAAUGGACAGUAUAUGGACAAGGAGGGGUUUUUUUUGAGAUGGACUUUUUCCUAGCUUGGACUCAAUGUCUUUUCCAACCUUAAUGAUUCUGUGAUUCUGGGCCAUAGGAAAUACAGGGAUUUCUUGUACAGAAAAUAUUUGCUUCCAACUAAAGCCAAGUAUGGCCACGACUUCUGAGUAAGAAAAAAUUCAGGUGCAUCACAAAGAAAUUUAGCAACUUCUUGUCCAGUUUGCAUCCAGACAUGGAUCCCUUAUGAGAAGAACUCCCAGAAUUAACCACUACACAGGGAGACAGCACGAAUGAGCAGGAGUAGUCAGAGGUGACGAGGAGAUACACGAUCUGCACCACAGAGCUUAAUCCUCCCACAUAUCCUGCUCAUUUCAGCACAGCACUACAUUUUUUUUUAAUCUGCCAGAAAACCCAGCAGUUUCAUUAUGAGGAGGGCAGUAAACAUGUGAAUAACAACUGUUUUUCUACAGUAAGUACGUGCAGUAAAACUAACCACCCCCAGUACUGCUCUGUGCUUUUAAAUGUGCACAGACAAGUGAAGCAAAUCAUGCAGACACAAAACUUGGCAUGUAAAUUAAAGCAGACUAAUUGAGCUCUGCCUGAACUUUCUUCCCCUGAAUCCUAAACAACCUGCUGAGCAAGUGUUCUUCCUUACAGCAGUCAAAGUAAGAGGUAUUUUUAGUCUGGAAAACCAGCACUGGAGCAGUACAAAGCAGAAGGUUGGGUACACCAACCAUGAGGUAUGGACUCAUAAAAUCACAAAAUAGUUUGGGUUAGAAGGGACCCAAACCUCAUUUUGUUCCAACCCUCUGCCACGUCCAGGGACACUUUCCAAUAGACCAGGUUGCUCCAACAUGGCCUUGAACACUUCCAGGGAUGGGUACACAGGAGCCUCCUCAGCUGCAGCAAUCAAACAGCACCCUUGGGAACAGCCCAGGAGCACAGAAGCUUUGCUGCCUUCCUAAUCUGAAAAGACGAAGAAGAGGGGAAAAAAUGUUUCCCCUUCCUAAAAGGCUCAGCAGAGCUCAGGGGCACUGGGAUCUGGGUGCUGUGGGACCUAGAGGAACCUCCCUCCCAGCACCCACCACCACUGGGAUCAGCUCCCUGAGGGCACUGAGCCCCUACAGCUGCCACCUCCAGCACCCAUGGCAGCUCUUCCCAGGGUUAUUACUGGGAGAAAUUAGGGAUGAAAAACAGAAGGUGUCUCCAUGAAACAGCCACUAGCCAUGUGCAGCAGACUGAGAACACUGGGACAUGUCCACCUGAAACCUGCUGGGCCGGCUGGUAACUGAGCCGAAAGCUGCUCCUCCCUGCCAGCUAAAGCUGCCUCCUGCUUCCAUGGGCAGGUUCCUGUCCCGGCUGCCUCUACCAUGGCCGCUUUCUGCCUGCUGCCACCUCCCACGUGCCACUGUCACCACUGCUGUGCUGACACAGCGCCUGCAGGAAUGCACUGGCAACUGGAGCAGGGCCCCAGCCUGCCUGGAAAAAAGAAAAGGUGCCGUGUUUUCCCCCUGUGUUAUUUCAUUUCAGGCUGGCUGGGUUUGUCCCACGGUGGGUGGCAAGAAAGGGAACACGUUAAACCGCGAUUGCAGCCCAGUGCGGGGCAGCCCGUGGUUGUGUGUUCAGUGUUGGGAGAGGUGUUUCCUCCACUCUUUCUCCACUGCCUUUCUUGGAGCAGCUCAGCUGCCUCCUCCAGGCUCACUGCUGACCCUGACCCACAGCCAUGGGCUUUGGUGCUGAGGGAAUCAAGUCCCCAUGGGAUCAUGCCACCCUGAGAGGGAAUUUGGGGAUGCCGGUGAUGACUGGGACUCCCUCACACAUGGAAUGUGCACAGGAGCCCAGGUACCUGUGAGAGACAUCUUUGCAGCAAGAUGACUCACUGCCCCGUAUGCCGAAUGGAUGGACAGCCAAAAUCUGGACCAGCACCAGUCUGUGAGGCACUGAAAACCCCUGGGGUACAAGUGUCAAUAUGCCCCACACUGCCACUGGCUCUGAGGCUGUCCAGGAGACCCUCAUCCGGACACGGUCCCACUGGGGACGGAGCUGUGCUGGGGAUGGAACUGUGCUGCCUCCAAGCCCUGCCAGAGCCAGGCCCGACUUGUUCUCUCCGUGUUGAAAACCAGCCCGUCCUGUUUGCGCACCCAGCUCCGAGUCGGAUGGGCUGGAAGGUGUGGAGAGCAGCCAGGGGAGCACUGGGCUGGGCUGCUGAGCUGGCAGCUCUGCUGGGACACACAGGAGAAGUGAGAGAGCAGGAGAGAGCACUCUGAGUCACCUGACAUUGCCUCUGCCCUCAUUCUGCCUGCACACCUUCAUCAUCCUCAGCCUGCCAGCUUUCCUUGCUCCCUGUCCACCAGGGCUCAGCCUGCCUGCCCCUCCUGCUGCCACACAAAUAAAAAGGGCCUUUUUGUUUUAUGGAGCACAGUGCAGAGCAGUGAAUAAGCACAGGUUUAUUUUGGGGCACAGCCAAGUUAGUGCUGAGUUAAGGAAGACAGGGCUUCCCACCUGGCAGCAGCAGAGCAAGGAUCAGGAGUGAGAUCUGUGAGCUGGCAGCUUGGCCAAUCUCCCUGCUGCACCAGCAGAACCCUCAGCCCUGUGGCACUGGGAUAACCUGUCCUGGAGCAUGGGAUGGGCCUUCCCAACAUGCACAGGAACCCCACGCAUGUCCACUACCGCCAGGCACUUGUGGAAGCAGCAACACUUCUGGGCUGACAAGGAAAUGCAGCAAUCAAGAAAAAGAAAAUUUCUACUGUAUCGGAGUAUUAUUAAAAAAAAUACAUUUUGAUUCAUCUGUAACUGCAAUA